UCUCCGUAGGUGAACCUGCGGAGGGAUCAUUACACAAUAAACAUAUGAAGGCUGCACCGCCAACAGGCGGCAAGGCUGGAGUAUUUUAUUACCCUUGUCUUUUGCGCACUUGUUGUUUCCUGGGCGGGUUCGCCCGCCUCCAGGACCACAUGAUAAACCUUUUUUAUGCAGUUGCAAUCAGCGUCAGUACAACAAAUGUAAAUCAUUUACAACUUUCAACAACGGAUCUCUUGGUUCUGGCAUCGAUGAAGAACGCAGCGAAAUGCGAUACGUAGUGUGAAUUGCAGAAUUCAGUGAAUCAUCGAAUCUUUGAACGCACAUUGCGCCCUUUGGUAUUCCAAAGGGCAUGCCUGUUCGAGCGUCAUUUGUACCCUCAAGCUUUGCUUGGUGUUGGGCGUUUUUUGUCUUUGGUUUUGUCCAAAGACUCGCCUUAAAACGAUUGGCAGCCGGCCUACUGGUUUCGCAGCGCAGCACAUUUUUGCGCUUGCAAUCAGCAAAAGAGGACGGCACUCCAUCAAGACUCUAUAUCACUUUUGACCUCGGAUCAGGUAGGGAUACCCGCUGAACUUAA
rnacentral:rRNA from 1 species